GGGUGCCUCCUCCUUCUUUUUCCACCAUGGACCACCAGAAAAAGAUGCAGAUAAUAUGUUAUAAAAGUCAUAAAAAUCUCAAAAAAAAAUUGACUAAAUCAGUGCCAUAAGGAAAGAGUUUUGGUUUCCUAAAACUCUAUCUCAUAGAAUUUGAAAUCCAAACUAAUUCCUUCUUUGACUUGAUCCACAACUACAUUCCAUGUAUGAGAGAGAGAGAGGAA
rnacentral:lncRNA from 1 species